AUAGAGGUGCUCCGACUCGCACCUGUCUUGACUCACUUUUGCAUGCGGUGGGUUUGUUCAUAAUUUGCACAGGUUGACAUUGUGCGCUUGGCCCAGUCCGUACCAGUAGACACCACUUGCGGCUGCACAUUGGCGACAUCAAGAAAUCAGCUGUCACAGCCGGCGCGAUGCUCAAACAGGUGCAACGACAGAAGCCUACUUCACCCUCCCCUUAUAGGUCACUACAGCAGUGGGAAAACGAAGGAGGAUGGACAUGUUCCACACGCAGUAAACUGAAAAGCAUGGAGCCGGAAAGCACAAGGAUGAUGGCUUGCGGCUCGUCACGUGUGAUCACGUUCAGGAGCUGGAGUUUUUCGAAGAUCAUUGCAGCCCAGAUACACUGGUACGGGCAGAUAUACUUGCGAGCAUGCAGAUCUCUGGUACCUAUGGAGUGAGGGCAGUGAUUGACAAAGCAUCUGGAAAUAUCCGCUGGGGGGCCUGUAAGUGUAGUGCGGGUGGUCUCGGAGUCUGCAAACAUGUUUGCUGUUGCCUCUAUGCUCUAGUGUAUGUUACAACACAUGAAGGCUUUUCCCAAACGCAAGUCAUGUACUGAAGGCCCAAGGCUGAAGUUACUCUU